rnacentral:rRNA from 1 species
GAUGAACGCUAGCGGCAGGCCUAACACAUGCAAGUCGAGGGGCAUCGCGUGCAGCAAUGCACUGGCGGCGACCGGCGUACGGGUGCGUAACGCGUAUGCAACCUGCCCCGCACCGGGGGAUAGCCCGGCCGAAAGGCGGAUUAAUACCCCAUGGUCCCGGGGGCCCGCAUGGGCAUCCGGGUAAAGCCUUGGCGGUGCGGGAUGGGCAUGCGUGCCAUUAGCUGGCUGGUGGGGUAACGGCCCACCAGGGCAACGAUGGCUAGGGGGUCUGAGAGGAUGGUCCCCCACACUGGUACUGAGACACGGACCAGACUCCUACGGGAGGCAGCAGUGAGGAAUAUUGGUCAAUGGGCGGAAGCCUGAACCAGCCAUGCCGCGUGCGGGAUGAAGGCCCUACGGGUUGUAAACCGCUUUUCCCCGGGAAGAAUAACCCCGAUGAGUCGGGUGAUGCCGGUACCGGGGGAAUAAGGAUCGGCUAACUCCGUG